rnacentral:rRNA from 1 species
GAUGAACGCUAGCUACAGGCUUAACACAUGCAAGUCGCGGGGCAGCAUGGGGGUUGCUUGCAAUCCCCGAUGGCGACCGGCGCACGGGUGAGUAACGCGUAUCCAACCUGCCCUUCACCACGGGAUAACCCGGCGAAAGUCGGACUAAUACCGUAUGUUGUCCAUUGACGGCAUCCGAUUUGGACGAAAGGUUUGGCGGUGAAGGAUGGGGAUGCGUCCGAUUAGCUGGACGGCGGGGUGACGGCCCACCGUGGCGACGAUCGGUAGGGGUUCUGAGAGGAAGGGCCCUCACACGGGAACUGAGACACGGUCCAGACUCCUACGGGAGGCAGCAGUGAGGAAUAUUGGUCAAUGGGCGUAAGCCUGAACCAGCCAAGUAGCGUGCAGGAUGACGGCCCUAUGGGUUGUAAACUGCUUUUAUGCGGGGAUAAAGUGGCCCACGUGUGGGUUUUUGCAGGUACCGCAUGAAUAAGGACCGGCUAAUUCCGUG